rnacentral:rRNA from 1 species
GCCCAGCUGUAACAAAACAAUUAAAUAACAAAUUGUUCGCCAAAUAACUACGAGUAAAAACUUAAAAUUUAAAAGACUUGACGGUACUUCACAUCAACCUAGAGGAGCCUGUCUAAUAACCGAUAAUCCACGAUUAACCCAACCCUAUCUAGCCUAACAGUCUAUAUACCGCCGUCGCCAGCUUACCUUGUGAAAGAAAUAAAGUAAGCAUAAUAACACUACAUUAAUACGACAGGUCGAGGUGUAACUAAUGAUAAGGAAAUAAGAUGGGCUACAUUUUCUAAUCCAGAAAACACGGAUAAGCUAUGAAAAUAAAAACUGAAGGAGGAUUUAGCAAUAAGAUGAGAACAUAAUACUCAACUGAAAUUAAUGCAAUGAAGUGCGCACACACCGCCCGUCAUCCCUGUAAAUCACAUAAAACAUAAAUAAUUACAUUAAAUUCCUUUAAAGCAGGGCAAGUCGUAACAUGGUAAGUGUACUGGAAAGUGCACUUAGAAA